rnacentral:lncRNA from 1 species
CCUCUCCUUGCCCUCUCUUUCUUUCUCUCCGCCCCUUUCUCUCUCUCCAGUCUUCACUCUCUCUCUCUCUCUAGCCCUUUUCUCUCUCUCCAGUCUUUCUCUCUCCGAGAAAAAGUUAACACUUUUUUUACAAACGGCCCUUCAUAAGCGCUUACCUGUAACCGGAAGUUGUCCUCAAUCUCGUUUCCGGCAAGACCAAUCCACACAGGUCAGUCAUUGCGCAUCUUUUUGAAAGCCACUUCCCCGCCCGGCCCUAACUCGGCUGCACUCAAUAGUACGUCACACUGGGUGCUCCCAUAAGAAAUACAUUGCGUGCACUCAAUAGUACGUCACUGCGCAGUAGAGGACCAAAACUCGUCCACGGGAAUGACUGACCUGUGUGGAUUGGUCUUGGUUUCCGGUAAUAAACACCUGUAAAAAUCAUUUCAAGGUCAAAAACGAACAUCAUCAUAUUUUGUGACGUCAUCAAGGAUCGCCUACGUAACGCCGGCCACUGUGUACCGUGCCCGUGCCCCUUCGUCACCAUCGCCUCCCUCCGUCCAUUGUGCAUCAUUCAUUAUUACUUUGUCUACGCUGUGACCCUUUCGUUAUAUGCAUCAUUACUUUUUAGUCAACGAACGAAUAAUCAUCAUGGCUUUUCCAAGAAGAAGGAAUCCGAAGGCACCAAAGUAAUCAAUACGCGGCUCUUUUCUCUGGGUUCUAUUCUACGAGUCGUCAGCGCGAAUUCUGCGGCAAUGAGUAAUUUUGAAAAAGACUGCAAACAUCUUGACUUUUUCAAUCUCUUUGAGAGUAUCAAAGAAGAGUCAAACAAAUAUGAUUUUUCCAUCAAAGCAGCAAAGGAAAACAAAACCUCAAUCGUUACAGGGAUGUCAACCCCUACGAUUAUUCUCGGAUUAUCCUUACGAGGGGCAGCUGUGACUUCAUAA